GCCUUAACCUCGGCUAUAAAGCAUGCUGAGGCGGAGUCCCCUCGUUUCAGGCUCUUCAGUGUCAGUGCUCAGUAUCUGCCUUAGAGAACUACGAGAAGGGGCUGCUAGCAGCCGCCAUCCGGGGCACUGGGUGGCUGCAGGUGGUGGUGGCGAUGGAACGGUAGGAGGGCGGCCAGCAGCGGGAGCUUCUCCUGCCGGGCAGGAGGACGAGUAGAAGGGAGAGGCACCACCACAUGCUGGAGGCUGGAGCUUGCACCGCCGCAGCUCGCCUCACUGCAGUUGGAGGUGACGUUGGACACUACAGCUUGGCCAGAGUGGUAGAAAUGUUGUUGCAUAGGAUUACCAGGAGACACCAGGUGCUGCAGCAGCUUCGGGAUAACUUGAGGAUGCAUCCUGGGGAAGAGACACCUCUUGUCCAUGGCGCUGACUACUGAGGACAGCUUCGGUGUGGCUUUUCUGCGGCCAGCUUCUUUGAGGCCUUUUUCUUUCAUGGAUGGUAGAGAGCAGUCUACAGCCUGAGACCCAUCACAAGGUUCCUUGUGAGACACCUGGGGGACUCCAAACAGCCGGAAUCCAUCUGCCCACUGGUCCGGAGACAGGGAUCCUCCGCCUCCUUCCAGGGUUGAUGGCUCAGGAGGCCUUCUCUGCAGGGGACCAGGACACAGGAAAGCCAGGAAGAGAUGAGCUGGGAAGGGAGCUGUUGGGGGCCAUUCUGGUUUUAAAAAUAAAGCAGGACUUUCGUUGCUUGUUAUAAAA
rnacentral:lncRNA from 1 species